ACGGAAGGCAGCAGUGGGGAAUAUUGGACAAUGGGGGCAACCCUGAUCCAGCGACGCCGCGUGAGUGAAGAAGUAUUUCGGUAUGUAAAGCUCUAUCAGCAGGGAAGAAAAUGACGGUACCUGACUAAGAAGUCCCGGCUAACUACGUGCCAGCAGCCGCGGUAAUACGUAGGGGACAAGCGUUAUCCGGAUUUACUGGGUGUAAAGGGAGCGUAGACGGCAGAUCAGGUCUGAAGUGAAAUCCCGCGGCUCAACUGCGGGACUGCUUUGGAAACUGGUCAGCUAGAGUGUCGGAGAGGUGAGUGGAAUUCCCAGUGUAGCGGUGAAAUGCGUAGAUAUUGGGAGGAACACCGGUGGCGAAGGCGGCUCACUGGACGAUAACUGACGUUGAGGCUCGAAAGCGUGGGGAGCAAACAGGAUUAGAUACCCUGGUA
rnacentral:rRNA from 1 species